UGUUUAGUGAAGCACAUAAAAAAAAAAAAAAAAAAAAAGGUAGGAGAAAGUGAAGGAGUGGUGGCCGAAAGAAAGAGGGAAGCAAAAGAAUAGCCGCACCUUCCGUUUUGACAUGUUAUUCGGUAGAAGGUGGUGACGGAGAAUUGGAGGGAAUAUCCAUUGACCCAGAGAUCUAGUUUCAUUCUUCCUGCACAACCACAACCAAAGAUCUGAAUCAUGUGGUAAUUUAAAGUAAACAUUUCUUCGUUGGCUCUGCUGCAAUGUGAUUCAAACUGCAGAAGAUGGGGUGCGCAGGAUUGUUUUGUAACAUGGGAAAACUAUUUUUGCUCCGGCUAUGAUAUAUAGGGUAUGAGAUGCAUAUAAACCUUCAACACGUCCUCCAAUUUUGAGGACUGAUGACCAAUUGGUUCAGGACCAGAGGACUGUGGCUUAUCAGUUUGCCGCAGUAUGUAUACAGUUCUGAUCUUUAUGGCAGUAUUAUCUUUUUUCUUCAUUGAUUUUCCACAAGGUUGAUGUUGUAACAUUUUGUAGCAGAUUCUGCAAUUGCUUAUCUGGCACAUUCCACGUUUUAUUUUCAUUUUCUGGUAGACAA